CUGGAGCCCCAGCCGCGCCUCCCUGGCUGCAGCUGCUGUAUUCACAGCAGCCGCUUCAGGCGGGCCGCCACGGCGAUCAGUUUUUCAUGGCCUCCAGGUUCUGAUGAAGCGUGGGAUUUUCUGCCCUGUACCCCUCAGAACAAGAAACCACCUUACUGCAGUCUGUAAGUGGCUCCUCAGUAACAGGGCACCCACAACUUUCAUGGCAUCCGCCCGUUACUUUUGUGUCUUCCCUUCUGUGUGUGGGACCAGGAACCUGUGGAGCUGGCUCUCAGCUUACUGCUCUUUCUGCUAUGUAAGCGAUCAACUGUCUGACUCUAAAAGUGACUCGUAUUUUUCCUUUUGAAUCAGACAGACCCUGAUCUGGGUUUUGCUUUGUGUUUUAUGUGUGAGCUUUAUACUCUGAAGUCGCUUUAUAUUUUAUUUUUUCAUUUAUUAACAAAU
rnacentral:lncRNA from 1 species